GCCCCUGGAUAAAGUGACUGCACAAGGAGCCAGCCCACCUUCCCAUCCUCCUCAUGGACAACAGAGCUGGAACCCUUGCAAGGCAGUGGUGCAGUCUUUCCGAGUUUCUGGAUUCCCUGCAUCUGUGAGGAGCAGUUCUGCUGCCAACUUCAUCCCUCUUCCUUCACAGAAGAAAGACUUCUGAGCUUGCCGACAGUCGCCCAGUCAUGUGGGACAGUGGCAGGGAUGUAACUACAGAGAAGUGCAUAUGCUUGUCUCCUGGGAGCCACCACAGCUCUGCAGAAGUGCUCUCAAUAGCCACCAAUCUCUCAUCUUGGGAAGAAACAAGUGAUUUAGGAUCUGAAGGACACAUGACUCAAUGCCAUCCAAAAUUCAGUAGCUGUCUGUUGUUGGUGCAGAUCUGAAGAUGCAAUGCAGGUGCUCAGAGAGAUGGAAAAUCGUGCUGUGCUACGUACUUCAGCUGCCAAGAAAUGCUAAUUGUGUGGCUGGCUGGGAGUGCACAGGAACAGCAGUGCAAGUGGUGGAAGGGAAACCCAGAUCUCCCAAGCACCAGAUCAGCAGCUCCUCCAAGGAUCAACAGUUCUGCUGUGGUGGCUGCAUGAUGCUCAACAGCCUUGUUCCUGAAGUGGGGCCAGCACUUGCUGCAGCUGAUGGAAAAAACUUCAGCAUUUUUGGAGGUAGUCAUGCUGCCCUGAUCACAGCAACACCGGAGCUCUUCAAGGAGUGCAUCAUCACAGGACUUAGAUUUAUCUUUUGUGGCUCUCCCUUCUUCCAUGUCCCUGAAAUAAUAACAGAGGAGGAGGAUGUGAUUAGUGUUUUCUGCCAUGGGAUGUCAGCUGAGGGAUGAGAACCGUGUGCCAAGAGGAGGAAAGAGCUGUCACAGAUGGAUGGUACGUCGAUGGCUUCUGUCAUGUGGCUGCUGGGUCAAGAUCUGUG
rnacentral:lncRNA from 1 species